GACAGAGGUGCCAAGCGUUAGGCGGAAUCACUGGGCUUAAAGCGUGUGUAGGCGGACUUGUAAGUACCUUGUGAAAUCCCACGGCUCACCGUGGAACUGCUUGGUAUACUGCUUGUCUUGAGCCACUUAGGGGCUACCGGAACAAAUGGUGGAGCGGUGAAAUGCGUAGAUAUCAUUUGGAACGCCCAAUGGUGAAAACAGGGUAGCUGGGAGUGUGCUGACGCUGAGACACGAAAGCCAGGGGAGCGAACGGG
rnacentral:rRNA from 1 species